GCAAUCACCACAAGGACAUGCACAGUUAUUGAGCACCUACUGGUUCCAAUGCAGGCUGCAUUUAUUAUUCCCUUUCUAUGGCUUUACACCAUGGCUAAGAACAGCACAGCGUGUCCCUUAGGGGGACUCCUGUGGGUUCCCAUUCCCAGAGUCAGGGAUUGGGAGGAGGGACAGGGGGAGAAGAGCAUGGUUUCUCCAAACCCUGUGAAAUAGGCUAAUUCUACCUUCCUGCCCUCAGGAUCACAGGCAUUGCUUGGAAAAUGUGUCUCCCUCCUCCCACGCCUGGCUACUCCUGACUGCCUUUCAGGAGAGGAUGAGGCAGCAGGCCCAGGCCCCAGGAGGGUUUGAUUAAAGACGGGAGGGAGGGAAGCAGAAGUGACAGGACUCUCCCAUCCUCACACUUCCUCUCCACCUGCCGCGGCUGCCACAGCAGCUGUCUGAACACCGCUCUCAAAGACCAUGAGGACCAUCAGGAGAGCCACGGAACAGCUCAUCAGGCUGGGGUGGAAGUUCUGGCGUCUGUCGAUCUGCAACGCAGUGGUCCCGCUGCAGGCUGCCUGGACUGCCUUCUCUCAGCCUGUCCCAGCCAGCUGUAAGGAACUGCUGAUCCAGCUUCUGUUAUGCGCCUCCCUGGCCAUUGUGGUCUCAGGCCUGGUUCAUCACUGGCUGCUCUCUUUGCAGCUCUAUCCUCUGGGACCCCCUGCCUCGGUGACAGCUGUCUGUGGUGUCCUGGUCUUCCUGAGUCUAGGCCUGGUGCCCCCCAUCCGCUGCCUAUUUGCACUCAGUGUGCCUACCCUGGGCUCCCAGCAGGGCCGCCGGCUGCUCCUGUCCUACAGCGUAGCCAACCUGGCCAUUGCUGUGGUGCCAAACGUGUUAGCCAACGUGCAGGCAGCUGGGCGAGUGCUGAGCUGCGUCACCCAGGGCUCUUUGGAGAGUCUGCUGAACACUACUCACCAGCUGCACCAGGCAGCCAGGGAACUGGGCCCAGCCAGCCAAGCAGCCAGCCGGAGCCUGGCAUUCGAGGCAGAGGGCAAUGGCUCAGCCUUCCGCCUUCACACACACAGGGUCACUCAGCGGAUCCUGGAGGACUUCUCUGGCCUGGAGGUCCUGGCUCAGGUGGCAAUGGGGACUCAGCGGGUGAUCACCGGCCUAUUUAUGCUGGGCCUCCUGGGCGAGGCGGCCUGGUACCUUCACUGCUACCUCACUGACCUGCGCUUCGACAAUAUCUAUGCCACCCGGCAGCUGGUUCAGCAGCUGGCCCAGGCUGGUGCCACACAUCUGCUGGCCUCCCCACCUCCCUGGCUGCUCCAAACAGCCCAGCCGAAGCUGUCGCAGGAGGAGUUGCUGAGCUGCCUCCUAAGGCUGGGGCUGCUGGCACUGUUCCUGGUGGCCACAGCUGUGGCAGUGGCCACAGACUACGGAGCCUUCCUCCUGGCACAGGCAGCUGUGGCCUGGGCUCAGAAGUUGCCCACUGUCCCCGUCACACUCACGGUCAAGUAUGAUGUAAGUGCCCGGAGGGGAGUGCUCUUGGAACAUUCAGAUGAGAGGGGUCUGGACUGGCUGGCCUCUGAGUCAUCAGCUUUGGCUGCACCUAGGAGUCUGACAGACAGAUGGCAUGGAGGCCUAGGGGGACAAGAGACAGAGAAAUGGAAUACAGGAAGAGGCCAGGGCUAGGUACAGCCCCCAGUCACCCCCAGUGGCUGCUUCCUCCUGCUGGGCCCCAUCUCCUGCCUUUUCACCUCCUUCCAACAAUGCCUUUGUGUUGUAGACCCAUCAAUGAAUUGAAUCAUUGGUUAUUACAGGCCCCAGUGACCUAAUUCUCCAUGAAAACACUGUCCUGGGCAUUUCUCGAUCCCAUCAAGUUGGCAAGACUAUAAGCAUUGAUUGGUGGGGCUUUUGUUUGCUUUUUUGUUUGUUUUGUUUUGUUUUUUGACAGCAGGUUUUUACUAUGUAGUUUUGAGUGACCUGGAAUUCAAGAAUGCAGAACAGGCUGGCCUCGAUCACAGAGAUCCACCUGCCUCUGCCUCCUGAGCGAGCCAGCACUCCUGGUAUACACAGCGAUUGGGUGGAACCGAAGGCUUCCGGCAUUCUGCCCUUGGCUCUCCAAGGAGAGUCACUUUACCCUCGGAGCCAUAGAUCCAUCCUCAACUUUUACUAGCUUUCUCUAAACACACUUUAUUUAAAGGUAUCGUAUAAGGUUCUGGACUUCAUCCUCUUCGUCCUCAACCAGCCUCCGGUGGAGACCACGUUUGCCUCGGCACAGCGCUCCUUCCAGUGGGAGCUGCGCUUCACGUC